UCACGAAACCUUUACAAUGCACGAAAGUGUGAUAGGGGGAUUCCAAGUGCUUUGCCAACGGCAAGGCUUUUGCCAAGUGUAAGGAGCUUGGCGAAUAAGUGGUGGGCAAGACCGGUGCCAGCCGCCGCGGUAACACCGGCGCCACAAGUGGUGAUCGUAUUUAUUGGGUCUAAAGCGUCCGUAGCCGGUUUGGUAAAUUCUUUGUGAAAUUGUUGAGCUUAACUUAACAACGUGCAAGGAACACUGCCAAACUUGAGACCGGGAGGGGGUAGAGGUAUUCCAUGGGGAGCGGUAAAAUGCAAUAAUCCUUGGAAGACCACCAGUGGCGUAGGCUUCUAUCCAGAACGGGUCUGACGGUGAGGGACGAAGGCUAGGGGAGCAAAAUGG
rnacentral:rRNA from 1 species